UACGGGGGGGGCAAGCGUUGUUCGGAAUUACUGGGCGUAAAGGGCUCGUAGGUGGCCAACUAAGUCAGACGUGAAAUCCCUCGGCUCAACCGGGGAACUGCGUCUGAUACUGGAUGGCUUGAAUUCGGGAGAGGGAUGCGGAAUUCCAGGUGUAGCGGUGAAAUGCGUAGAUAUGCGGAGGAACACCGAUGGCGAAGGCAAUCCCCUGGGCCUGCACUGACGCUCAUGCACGAAAGCGUGGGGAGCAAACAGG
rnacentral:rRNA from 1 species